CUCAUUUUCUCUUGCUGCUACCAUGGAAGAAGCGACUUUCGCCUCCCGCCGUGAUUCUGAGGCCUUUCCAGCCAUGUCAAACUGCAUCCACUGAAGGUCUUGGAAUGUAUACCUGAUGGAUAAGGAGGAACUACUAUUGCAUGUGAUUCAACAAUUCUACUUCUGACAAAAUGUGACUGAAAAACAGAAGCAUUUGGAAUACGUAACAGAAGUCAUUAAAAAGAGCCAUGUAAUAUGUGCCUGCUUCCCCUUCUGCCAUGAUUGUAAGUUUCCUGAUGCCUUCUCAGCCAUGCAGAACUACAGAGUUUUGCUCUUGUUGCCCAGGCUGGAGUGCAAUGGCACGAUCUCAGCUCACUGCAACCACCGCCUCCCGAGUUCAAGAGAUUCUCCUGCCUCAGCCUCCCGAGCAGCUGUGAUUACAGGCACCUGCCACCAUGCCAGGCUAACUUUUUUGUAUUUUUAGUAAAGACAAGGUUUUGCCACGUUGGCCAGGCUGGUCUCAAACUCCUGACCUCAGCUAAUCCACCUGUAUAGGCCUCCCAAAGUUCUGGGAUUACAGGCGUGAGCCACCAUGCCUGGCCAACUAUUUGUUUUCUUGAUCUUGUCCUGUGUGUGUGUGUGUGUGUGUGCACGUGCACACGCGUGUGCUAUGAAGCAUAGAAUUCAUAGAUUUAGAAAUCUGUAUUCUAGGAUCUAUUUUUUCACACUUCAAAUAUCCCACUAUGAGUUAUAUCAUGAUUAUUUGUUCACAUAUUUGCCUUCUCCUGAAACUAAACUUUUGGAAGAUGUGAAUCACAUGUUAUCUACGUUUUGUCUCCCAGAAACCUAUAUGUCUAGUUGGUAGUUGACCGUUGCCGGGUGAAAGCUCUAAAGCCUGACUGAACUCCUGAAUGAACAAAUAAAUGGAUAGGAUGAUAACCUAAGUAGUCUAAUAUCAGCACUUAGGUUGUUCUCUAAGUGAAGGAACUUAGAGAACUGCUACAAAGUCAUUGUAAUUGUAUACACGUGCUACACUUUGGAGAUUACUGCUAAAUAAAGAUCAAGUUAGUGUUUGUAUUUCCCCAGAGAAAAUAGAGAAUUGAAUCUCAAAGACAAGUUGUUGCUUUGGAGGUAGAAGAGGGUUUUAAUCAGCAAUGAGAAGAAAAAGAGUAAGAAAUGUAAUCUUCUACCCAAUCUCUAAGUUAAAUCAUUUUACCCUUUUAGACAUAUUCCUCAUAGUUUUCACAGAGGGAAAAGGGAAAAAGUAAUUCCCAUCAUUGCUUCCUGUUCCCCUGGCAGUCUCUAUAUUAAAGAUGCUGGACUGCAGAUCCUCACUGCUGAGGGAAAAUAUUAACCUCAUUCUCUCCAAACACAGUAUGAAGCCUAGAAAAUGUCCUUCCUCAUUUUGGAACUUAAGGUUGUGUACAGAACAGUCUUACAAUGACAGUGUUUAGAACUGUAAGAAAUCAUCAAAAUGAGGUAAGUCUUUGUGAGGUAGCUGUGGAGCUGAUUUUUGAAAGUAUUGCUGCCUAUGAUUUUGGAGGUGCAUCAUAUUGUCAGGAAAGGUCUAAUGUGCUUUUUAAGUUAUGAAAUUUUGGUGUCACAUUUGUCUUGUGGGCUGCAGAAAUAAAAAAUAGGUUGAUAA
rnacentral:lncRNA from 10 species